rnacentral:rRNA from 1 species
GAUGAACGCUGGCGGCGUGCCUAAUACAUGCAAGUCGAGCGAACAGAUAAGGAGCUUGCUCCUUUGACGUUAGCGGCGGACGGGUGAGUAACACGUGGGUAACCUACCUAUAAGACUGGAAUAACUCCGGGAAACCGGGGCUAAUGCCGGAUAACAUUUAGAACCGCAUGGUUCUAAAGUGAAAGAUGGUUUUGCUAUCACUUAUAGAUGGACCCGCGCCGUAUUAGCUAGUUGGUAAGGUAACGGCUUACCAAGGCAACGAUACGUAGCCGACCUGAGAGGGUGAUCGGCCACACUGGAACUGAGACACGGUCCAGACUCCUACGGGAGGCAGCAGUAGGGAAUCUUCCGCAAUGGGCGAAAGCCUGACGGAGCAACGCCGCGUGAGUGAUGAAGGUCUUCGGAUCGUAAAACCCUGUUAUUAGGGAAGAACAAAUGUGUAAGUAACUGUGCACGUCUUGACGGUACCUAAUCAGAAAGCCACGGCUAACUACGUG